CCUACGGGCGGCAGCAGUGGGGAAUAUUGGACAAUGGGGGGAACCCUGAUCCAGCCAUGCCGCGUGUGUGAAGAAGGCCCUCGGGUUGUAAAGCACUUUCAGUGAGGAAGAACGCCUGGUGGUUAAUACCCAUCAGGAAAGACAUCACUCACAGAAGAAGCACCGGCUAACUCCGUGCCAGCAGCCGCGGUAAUACGGAGGGUGCGAGCGUGUAAUCGGAAUUACUGGGCGUAAAGCGCGCGUAGGUGGCUUGAUAAGCCGGUUGUGAAAGCCCCGGGCUCAACCUGGGAACGGCAUCCGGAACGGCCAGGCUGGGGGGCGGAGGGGGAAGGUGGAAUUCCCGGGGAGGGGGGAAAAGGGGAGAGAUUGGGGAGAAAUACCGGGGGGAAAGGCGGCAUUCGGAACUGACCCGGACACUGAGGGGGAAAGCGUGGGUAGCAAACAGGAUUAGAUACCCGUGUAGUC
rnacentral:rRNA from 1 species